GGGAUUGCCCUAGUAACGGCGAGUGAAGCGGCAACAGCUCAAAUUUGAAAUCUGGCUCUUUCAGAGUCCGAGUUGUAAUUUGCAGAGGGCGCUUUGGCGUUGGCAGCGGUCCAAGUUCCUUGGAACAGGACGUCACAGAGGGUGAGAAUCCCGUACGUGGUCGCUGGCCUUCGCCGUGUAAAGCCCCUUCGACGAGUCGAGUUGUUUGGGAAUGCAGCUCUAAAUGGGAGGUAAAUUUCUUCUAAAGCUAAAUACUGGCCAGAGACCGAUAGCGCACAAGUAGAGUGAUCGAAAGAUGAAAAGCACUUUGGAAAGAGAGUCAAAUAGCACGUGAAAUUGUUGAAAGGGAAGCGCUUGCAGCCAGACUUGCCUGUAGUUGCUCAUCCGGGCUUUUGCCCGGUGCACUCUUCUGCGGGCAGGCCAGCAUCAGUUUGGGCGGUUGGAUAAAGGUCUCUGUCAUGUACCUCUCUUCGGGGAGGCCUUAUAGGGGAGACGUCAUGCAACCAGCCUGGACUGAGGUCCGCGCAUUUAUGCUAGGAUGCUGGCGUAAUGGCUGUAAGCGGCCCGUCUUGAAACACGGACCAAGGAGUCUAACAUCUAUGCGAGUGUUUGGGUGUCAAGCCCGAACGCGUAAUGAAAGUGAACGGAGGUGGGACCCCAUUAGGGUGCACCAUCGACCGAUCCUGAUGUCUUCGGAUGGAUUUGAGUAAGAGCAUGGCUGUUGGGACCCGAAAGAUGGUGAACUAUGCUUGAAUAGGGUGAAGCCAGAGGAAACUCUGGUGGAGGCUCGCAGCGGUUCUGACGUGCAAAUCGAUCGUCAAAUUUGGGCAUAGGGG
rnacentral:rRNA from 1 species